rnacentral:rRNA from 1 species
AUUGAACGCUGGCGGCAGGCCUAACACAUGCAAGUCGAACGAGUGGCGGACGGGUGAGUAAUGUCUGGGAAACUGCCUGACGGAGGGGGAUAACUACUGGAAACGGUAGCUAAUACCGCAUACCAUCAGAUGUGCCCAUAUGGGAGUAGCUAGUAGGUGGGGUAACGGCUCACCUGGGCGACGAUCCCUAGCUGGUCUGCGAGGGUGAGCAGCCACAGUGGAACUGAGACACGGUCCAGACUCCUACGGUGGGCAGCAGUGGGGAAUAUUGCACAAUGGGCGCAAGCCUGAUGCAGCCAUGCCGCGUGUAUGAGGAAGGCCUUCGGGUUGUAAAGUACUUUCAGCGGGGAGGCGUUACCCGCAGAGGAAGCACCGGCUAACUCCGUGCCAGCCGCCGCGGUAAUUC